AAAUUGAAGAGUUUGAUCAUGGCUCAGAUUGAACGCUGGCGGCAGGCCUAACACAUGCAAGUCGAGCGGUAGCACAGAGAGCUUGCUCUCGGGUGACGAGCGGCGGACGGGUGAGUAAUGUCUGGGAAACUGCCUGAUGGAGGGGGAUAACUACUGGAAACGGUAGCUAAUACCGCAUAACGUCGCAAGACCAAAGUGGGGGACCUUCGGGCCUCAUGCCAUCAGAUGUGCCCAGAUGGGAUUAGCUAGUAGGUGGGGUAACGGCUCACCUAGGCGACGAUCCCUAGCUGGUCUGAGAGGAUGACCAGCCACACUGGAACUGAGACACGGUCCAGACUCCUACGGGAGGCAGCAGUGGGGAAUAUUGCACAAUGGGCGCAAGCCUGAUGCAGCCAUGCCGCGUGUAUGAAGAAGGCCUUCGGGUUGUAAAGUACUUUCAGCGGGGAGGAAGGCGAUAAGGUUAAUAACCUUGUCGAUUGACGUUACCCGCAGAAGAAGCACCGGCUAACUCCGUGCCAGCAGCCGCGGUAAUACGGAGGGUGCAAGCGUUAAUCGGAAUUACUGGGCGUAAAGCGCACGCAGGCGGUCUGUCAAGUCGGAUGUGAAAUCCCCGGGCUCAACCUGGGAACUGCAUUCGAAACUGGCAGGCUAGAGUCUUGUAGAGGGGGGUAGAAUUCCAGGUGUAGCGGUGAAAUGCGUAGAGAUCUGGAGGAAUACCGGUGGCGAAGGCGGCCCCCUGGACAAAGACUGACGCUCAGGUGCGAAAGCGUGGGGAGCAAACAGGAUUAGAUACCCUGGUAGUCCACGCCGUAAACGAUGUCGAUUUGGAGGUUGUGCCCUUGAGGCGUGGCUUCCGGAGCUAACGCGUUAAAUCGACCGCCUGGGGAGUACGGCCGCAAGGUUAAAACUCAAAUGAAUUGACGGGGGCCCGCACAAGCGGUGGAGCAUGUGGUUUAAUUCGAUGCAACGCGAAGAACCUUACCUGGUCUUGACAUCCACAGAACUUAGCAGAGAUGCUUUGGUGCCUUCGGGAACUGUGAGACAGGUGCUGCAUGGCUGUCGUCAGCUCGUGUUGUGAAAUGUUGGGUUAAGUCCCGCAACGAGCGCAACCCUUAUCCUUUGUUGCCAGCGGUUAGGCCGGGAACUCAAAGGAGACUGCCAGUGAUAAACUGGAGGAAGGUGGGGAUGACGUCAAGUCAUCAUGGCCCUUACGACCAGGGCUACACACGUGCUACAAUGGCGCAUACAAAGAGAAGCGACCUCGCGAGAGCAAGCGGACCUCAUAAAGUGCGUCGUAGUCCGGAUUGGAGUCUGCAACUCGACUCCAUGAAGUCGGAAUCGCUAGUAAUCGUAGAUCAGAAUGCUACGGUGAAUACGUUCCCGGGCCUUGUACACACCGCCCGUCACACCAUGGGAGUGGGUUGCAAAAGAAGUAGGUAGCUUAACCUUCGGGAGGGCGCUUACCACUUUGUGAUUCAUGACUGGGGUGAAGUCGUAACAAGGUAACCGUAGGGGAACCUGCGGUUGGAUCACCUCCUUACCUUAAAGAA
rnacentral:rRNA from 1 species